AGAGAACGCUGGCGGUAGGCCUAACACAUGCAAGUCGAACGGCAGCACAGUAAGAGCUUGCUCUUACGGGUGGCGAGUGGCGGACGGGUGAGGAAUACAUCGGAAUCUACUUUUUCGUGGGGGAUAACGUAGGGAAACUUACGCUAAUACCGCAUACGCCCUACGGUUGAAAGCAGGGGAUCUUCGGACCUUGCGCGAUUGAAUGAGCCGAUGUCGGAUUAGCUAGUUGGCGGGGUAAAGGCCCACCAAGGCGACGAUCCGUAGCUGGUCUGAGAGGAUGAUCAGCCACACUGGAACUGAGACACGGUCCAGACUCCUACGGGAGGCAGCAGUGGGGAAUAUUGGACAAUGGGCGCAAGCCUGAUCCAGCCAUACCGCGUGGGUGAAGAAGGCCUUCGGGUUGUAAAGCCCUUUUGUUGGGAAAGAAAAGCAGCAGGUUAAUACCCCGCUGUUCUGACGGUACCCAAAGAAUAAGCACCGGCUAACUUCGUG
rnacentral:rRNA from 1 species